UACGAAGGGGGCUAGCGUUGUUCGGAUUCAUUGGGCGUAAAGGGUGCGUAGGCGGCGCGGUAAGUCGGGUGUGAAAUCUCGGAGCUUAACUCCGAAACUGUAUUCGAUACUGCCGUGCUUGAGGACUGGAGAGGAGACUGGAAUUUACGGUGUAGCGGUGAAAUGCGUAGAUAUCGUAAGGAAGACCAGUGGCGGAAGGCGGGUCUCUGGACAGUUCCUGACGCUGAGGCACGAAGGUCAGGGGAGCAAACGGG
rnacentral:rRNA from 1 species